rnacentral:rRNA from 1 species
AACGAACGCUGGCGGCAUGCCUAACACAUGCAAGUCGAACGAGACCUUCGGGUCUAGUGGCGCACGGGUGCGUAACGCGUGGGAACCUGCCCUUAGGUUCGGAAUAACUCCCCGAAAGGGGUGCUAAUACCGGAUAAUGUCUUCGGACCAAAGAUUUAUCGCCUUUGGAUGGGCCCGCGUUGGAUUAGCUAGUCGGUAGGGUAAAAGCCUACCAAGGCGACGAUCCAUAGCUGGUCUGAGAGGAUGAUCAGCCACACUGGGACUGAGACACGGCCCAGACUCCUACGGGAGGCAGCAGUGGGGAAUAUUGGACAAUGGGCGAAAGACUGAUCCAGCAAUGCCGCGUGAGUGAUGAAGGCCUUAGGGUUGUAAAGCUCUUUUACCCGGGAUGAUAAUGACAGUACCGGGAGAAUAAGCUCCGGCUAACUCCGUG